UGAGCUGGCCGGGCGACCGCGUCACCUGCAAGGGUGCCGAGGAAGGUCCGGGCUCCACAGGGCAGGGUGGUGGCCAACAGCCACCCGGGGUGACCCGCGGGACAGUGCCACAGAGAACAGACCGCCUCCCGGGACCGAUCCGUCGGGACCGGGCGGUAAGGGUGAAACGGUGGUGCAAGAGACCACCAGCGUGCCGGGUGACCGGCACGGCUAGGCAAACCCCACCCGGAGCAAGAUCAAGGAGCACGUGUUCGAGGGCGGCCCGCCCGAGCGUGCGGGUGGAUCGCUUGAGGCUGCUGGCAACAGCAGGCCCAGAUGGAUGGUCGCCAACCGGAGUGGUCGCAAGGCCCCCGGCGAACAGAACCCGGCCUAUGAGCCAGCUCAUCCG
rnacentral:RNase_P_RNA from 1 species